CGCCUCUUGACUAUAAUAAGAGGUCUAGCCUGCCCAGUGAUAAAUUCAACGGCCGCGGUAUCCUAACCGUGCAAAGGUAGCAUAAUCACUUGUCUCCUAAAUAGAGACUUGUAUCAACGGCCUCACGAGGGUUAUACUGUCUCCUCUUUCUAAUCAGUGAAACUGAUCUCCCCAUGAAAAAGUGGGAAUAAACCUAUAAGACGAGAAGACCCCAUGGAGCUUUAAACCAAAUAGCAACCUAGCAAAACACCUUCCCAUUAGCUGCAAACUAUGCUAAAGGUUUUAGGUUGGGAAGACCACGGAGUAAAAACUACCCUCCGUAACGAAAAGAUUAAAAUCUUUAUCUAAGAGUUAUAGCUCUAAGGAUUAGAAAACUAACGUAAAUGACCCAAUAUUGAUCAAUGAACCAAGUUACCCUGGGGAUAACAGCGCAAUCCACUUCAAGAGUCCUUAUUAACAAGUGGGCUUACGACCUCGAUGUUGGAUCAGGGUAUCCUGGUGGUGCAGCCGCUACCAAGGGUUCGUUUGUUCAACGAUUAAAACCCU
rnacentral:rRNA from 1 species